rnacentral:rRNA from 1 species
AGAGUUUGAUCAUGGCUCAGAACGAACGCUGGCGGCAGGCCUCAAACAUGCAAGUCUAGGGGGUGUAGCAAUACAUCACCGGCGGACGGGUGCGUAACACGUGGGAAUGUACCUUUUGGUUCGGAACAACUGCGGGAAACUGCAGCUAAUACCGAAUGUGCCCUUCGGGGGAAAGAUUUAUCGCCAAAGGAUCAGCCCGCGUAGGAUUAGCUAGUUGGUGGGGUAAUGGCCCACCAAGGCUCCGAUCCUUAGCUGUUCUGAGAGGAAGAUCAGCCACACUGGGACUGAGACACGGCCCAGACUCCUACGGGAGGCAGCAGUUGGGAAUCUUGGACAAUGGGGGAAACCCUGAUCCAGCCAUGCCGCGUGAGUGAUGAAGGCCUUCGGGUUGUAAAACUCUUUCGACGGGGACGAUAAUGACGGUACCCGUAGAAGAAGCUCCGGCUAACUUCGUGCCAGCAGCCGCGGUAAUACGAAGGGGGCUAGCGUUGUUCGGAAUUACUGGGCGUAAAGCGCGCGCAGGCGGUCUUCCAAGUCAGUGGUGAAAGCCCGGAGCUCAACUCCGGAACUGCCAUUGAAACUGUGAGACUUGAGUACGAGAGAGGUGAGUGGAAUUCCCAGUGUAGAGGUGAAAUUCGUAGAUAUUGGGAAGAACACCGGUGGCGAAGGCGGCUCACUGGCUCGUUACUGACGCUCAGGCGCGACAGCGUGGGGAUCAAACAGGAUUAGAUACCCUAGUAGUCC